rnacentral:rRNA from 1 species
UACGGAGGGUGCAAGCGUUAAUCGGAAUUACUGGGCGUAAAGCGUGCGCAGGCGGUUUGUUAAGUCUGUUGUGAAAUCCCCGAGCUCAACUUGGGAAUUGCAAUGGAUACUGGCAGGCUGGAGUAUGGUAGAGGGAAGUGGAAUUUCCGGUGUAGCAGUGAAAUGCGUAGAUAUCGGAAGGAACAUCAGUGGCGAAGGCGACUUCCUGGACAGAUACUGACACUGAGGCACGAAGGCGUGGGGAGCAAACAGG